rnacentral:rRNA from 1 species
AGUGGGGAAUAUUGGGCAAUGGGCGCGAAGCCUGACCCAGCAACGCCGCGUGAGGGAAGAAGGUUUUCGGAUUGUAAACCUCUGUCGCAGAUGACGAAGGAAGUGACGGUAAUCUGUGAGGAAGCCCCGGCUAACUACGUGCCAGCAGCCGCGGUAAUACGUAGGGGGCGAGCGUUGUCCGGAAUUACUGGGCGUAAAGGGAGCGUAGGCGGCCGAUUAAGUUGGAUGUGAAAUCCCCGGGCUUAACUUGGGUGGUGCAUCCAAUACUGGUUGGCUAGAGUACAGGAGAGGAAAGCGGAAUUCCUGGUGUAGCGGUGAAAUGCAUAGAUAUCAGGAGGAACAUCGGUGGCGAAGGCGGCUUUCUGGACUGACACUGACGCUGAGGCUCGAAAGCGUGGGGAGCAAACAGGAUUAGAUACCCUGGUAGUCCACGCUGUAAACGAUGAAUACUAGGUGUAGGGGGUGUAAACUCCCUCUGUGCCGCAGCAAACGCAUAUAAGUAUUCCG